rnacentral:snRNA from 1 species
UGACCGUGUCUCUAUAUCACAA